GGCAGUCAUUAUUACAAGCGCUGGGGCGUAAUCAGCAACUAUAUUGUUCGCCUUUUUCAGACACCAAAUGAAAAUUCAGCUGAUCUCAUAGAGAACUGAAUAGAGAACUCAAGCUCAUUGAACUUAUAAUAUAGCAUAUACUGUUUUGUUGCUCCAGCUAUGGGAACUGUUUUGUAGUCAACAUACAAAACGUUCCUACGUUCGCACAUUCCAUCCUGUUUACCAAAAUACUAAGAUAUCCCUCUUUCUUUUAACGUUCGUAUUUCCUGUUAUUUAAAUGUUCCAGUUUACUUAUGUAUAUUUUAUGAUUGUAACAUUAUUAACAUGCCAG